GAGUGCGUGUUAACUAUUGCUGUACAUCUGCCCUCCCUGGCGGGUAUUUAUAUAUGCCCCACAAAGGAAGCCUGGAAGAUGACAAGCAGAGCACUGCUGAGCUGGGAUUGCUCCUAUCUUGUGUUGGAGAUGAAAAGUGAGAUUGGAUGAGGGUGCAGCAUGCAUCCUGUGUUUGAUAUGCCAAGCAUCUGAGGGAUCCAUACGUCGCAAUGAGGAAGAACCUGCUCGAUUUAUGCUUGUUAAAAAGGACUGGUACUUCUUUACACUCUGGACAAAGUCACAGAUUAUGUUUGAGAUAUUUUUCAGCAGAAAGCAACCAGACUUGUACCGAACUGUGGCAUCUACAUGAAUUCCAGCUCUGUUCAUGUUUCUCAUGCUGAAGGAACGAGAUUUACAUGUUUCAAUGGCACUCUUCUCCAAGGUUGCAUAACUCAACAUAGCAAUAUAAACACAUGUCAGUGAAGGGUUCUCUUCAUAUUUGCCUUCUCUCAUAUGCUUUUCAGCUGCAUUUACUCCAUGCUCGACAUGGACCAGAAGUGAUGACACCUUUGGUGAUGGACCACUAUAGUCAAGCAACUUGGAGGUGAUUGGGACUGCUCAACUGAAGAGGAACAUGGAGGGUUACCUUACAUCAAUCCAGCUCCAACUCAAGGAAGGAUACAUCACAUACAGGUAACAGUUAUUCUUCUCAAUUCGAUAAAUUGUUGAAGUAUAUAUUGAGUCGUAUUAUUAUUAUUAUUAUUUUACCCUUUAAGUUCUUAAAAUUAGUGGUCACUCAAUUCAAAAUCUUUAAGAUAGUAUUAAAGUAGAUGAUGAAUUCAAAUCUUAUAUUUGUCUCUCUUUCUUAAAGUAAUAUUCAUUCUUCAUUUGGGCUUAUACCACACACUCGGUGGUUUUUAUUCACAUGUCAAGUGGGCUUAGACCGACUUGUUCAUGAGAGGAAAUAAAUGUUAAGGUAUAUAUUAGAUCCCCUUUGGAAAUAGCAGUCAAAUCUUUCAGAUUUAUAAUCAGCAUCUUUUGAUUUUGAAACAUAGGUCCUUAUGAAAAGUCAGAACAUCAUAGAAACAGAGAUGUGUUUGAUCAUGCAAGUCCCCUUCACUUUUUUUAUGUCCGUCCAAUAAUUGGUAUUGUGAA